UCAAUUUUAAUGUAUACCUCUUAGAUAUACCAGAGGCAAAUUGAUGAGAAGAAGACUUGGCUUGAGGCUCGUGAUUUCUGUCAAGUCAUUGGAGGUGACUUGGCAAGCUUCCACUCUCAACGAGAAAUCAACAAGUUACCGUAUAUAAUUGGAGACCCAGCAUGGAUAGGUUUCAGUAUGCUGAAUAGUAAUUCUGGUUUUGUGUGGACUGAUGGAACCCCGUCUGAUUUUGAGAACUGGGGGUUUGGAGAACCAAACAACUACAACGAUCAAGAGCACUGUGCAGAAAGUGGCCUUUAUUAUGGACACAAGUGGAAUGAUUGUGAUUGUGAAUCCUAUAAUAACUGGAUUUGCCAGAUACCAAUAGGCAGAACUCCAAAACCUCCACCAACUACUGGAACACAG